UAGAGACAGGGUCUUGCUCCAUCACCCAGGCUGGAGUUCAGUGGCAUAUUCACAGCUCGCUGCAGCUUUCACCUUCCAGGUUCAAGUUGUCUUCCCACCUCAGCCUCCCAAGUAGCUGGGACCACAGGAGGAAAUCUCUUCACUGCUGGCACUGACAAUGGAAGACUGAGGGUGCCCGGGAUCCUUCACCCCCACAUCCAGUGAGUCCACGGAACCCAGGGUAACUGGGAUGGUAUCUGGUCUCAAAACUUUUCUUUUGAGUUAUUGAUAGCUUUUAACAAUUUAUUUUACUCCUAAGGACAAAAUUUGGGGCAUAUUUGUUUCUCUCGACCUGAUUUCUGCAGAAU
rnacentral:lncRNA from 10 species